UAACGGCCUACCAAGGCGACGACGGGUAGCCGGCCUGAGAGGGCGACCGGCCACACUGGGACUGAGACACGGCCCAUACUCCUACGGGAGGCAGCAGUGGGGAAUAUUGCGCAAUGGGCGAAAGCCUGACGCAGCGACGCCGCGUGAGGGACGAAGGCCUUCGGGUUGUAAACCUCUUUCAGCAGGGACGAAGCGAAAGUGACGGUACCUGCAGAAGAAGCACCGGCCAACUACGUGCCAGCAGCCGCGGUAAUACGUAGGGUGCAAGCGUUGUCCGGAUUUAUUGGGCGUAAAGAGCUCGUAGGCGGUUUGUCGCGUCUGCUGUGAAAACUCGGGGCUCAACCCCGAGCCUGCAGUCGAUACGGGCAGACUAGAGUUCGGUAGGGGAGACUGGAAUUCCUGGUGUAGCGGUGAAAUG
rnacentral:rRNA from 1 species